AGAUUGCUACUGUCCAGUAGAUCCUCUCAAGCGAUACGUCAAGCCGUCGUGUAAAGAACAUGUAAGGUCUCAGAUUAUCCUACAGGAUUUGUUGUUGUCUGUGGUGGUUUUAGCACAAUGCAUCUUUUCACAUCAGAGAGGAAUUGCUGAAAAAGAUGAUGGAAUCUUCUUUCAAUAAUGUUGGUGUUACGAUAAAUGAUGACGAACAUAUCACAUCAAUGUCAGAAUUCAGCGUCUAUAAAGAAACUCCUCGGAGUAAAAUAUUUUUAAUAAUUCGAAAUCGAAACCAUCCUCAGUCGUUCGGGCUGGAAUACACAAGCGGUCGGCUGAGAAAUUACUCGUCUCCUGACAGGGAAACAUUAUUGGCUGGUUUGCUAGACGGUGUUAGAGCCAGUUGAAACAUAGAUGUUUGCGUAAAA